rnacentral:misc_RNA from 1 species
AAGUCGUAACAAGGUCUCCGUUGGUGAACCAGCGGAGGGAUCAUUACCGAGUUCUUACAGAACCCAACCCUGUGUGAUAAGUUCUCACCCGAACUUUUCCACUACAGGUCUCGGUCCACGGGCAGGCAGCGCCGGCCGCGGUGGACUUCGAGGCACCUGUAGGAAACCCAAACCUCUGUAUCAUUAACACAAAUAUCUGAGCGACUUUACAUAAAGAGUCAAAACUUUCAACAACGGAUCUCUUGGUUCUG